GGAUAACAAAAAGUCCCGGAUCAUCCCGAGGCAUGUGUGUCUGGCCGUCAGAAAUGACGAGGAGCUGAGCAAACUGCUUGCUGGGGUCACAAUCUCCUAUGGUGGUGUCAUCCCCAACAUCAACCCUAUCCUGCUCCCCAAAAAGACCGCCGAGAAGGCCGAAGCUGCCGGAACUAAGUCCCCGAAGAAGCCUGCCAAGUCUCCGAAGAAAGCUGCCAAGUAACCACAAGGGCGUUUAUUUGAUGCUAAUAUAUGUCUCAAGGGUUUUUUUCUUGUAAACCCAAAGUGUUGUGUCGUUGGUUCUGCUUCCUUUGAAUUGGAUCU
rnacentral:misc_RNA from 1 species